GUGAAAGUUUCCAAGGGCGCAUGGUGGAUGCCUUGGCAACAGGAGCCGAAGAAGGACGUGGGAAUCUGCGAUAAGCCUGGUGGAGUCGAUAACCGGACGUUGAGACCAGGAUUUCCGAAUGGGGAAACCCCGCACGACGUGUCGUGUGACCCCCGGUUGAACACAUAGACCGGGUGGAGGGAACGUGGGGAAGUGAAACAUCUCAGUACCCACAGGAAGAGAAAACAAAAGUGAUUCCGUUAGUAGUGGCGAGCGAACGCGGAUGGGGCUAAACCGUAUGUGUGUGAUACCCGGCAGGGGUUGCAUGUGCGGUGUUGUGGGCCCCUCCUUGUCAUGUCUGCCGGCAUGGCGCAGUGAGGUGCGGGCAUAUAGACGAACCAGUGUGGAUGCUGGACCGUAGAGGGUGAGAGUCCCGUAGUCGAAAUGUGUUCCGCCGCUGUUGGAGGGUUGCCCGAGUAGCACGGGGCCCGAGGAAUCCCGUGUGAAUCUGCCAGGACCACCUGGUAAGCCUGAAUACUACCUGUUGACCGAUAGCGGAUCAGUACCGUGAGGGAAUGGUGAAAAGUACCCCGGGAGGGGAGUGAAAUAGUACCUGAAACCAUGUGCCUACAAACCGUUGGAGCCUCCUUGUGGGGUGACAGCGUGCCUUUUGAAGAAUGAGCCUGCGAGUUAGUGAUACGUGGCGAGGUUAACCCGUGUGGGGAAGCCGUAGCGAAAGCGAGUCUGAAUAGGGCGAUUGAGUCGCGUGUCCUAGACCCGAAGCGGAGUGAUCUACCCAUGGCCAGGUUGAAGCGCGUGUAAGAGCGCGUGGAGGACCGAACCCACUUCAGUUGAAAAUGGAGGGGAUGAGCUGUGGGUAGGGGUGAAAGGCCAAUCAAACUCCGUGAUAGCUGGUUCUCCCCGAAAUGCAUUUAGGUGCAGCGUCACGUGUUUCUUCCCGGAGGUAGAGCUACUGGAUGGACGAUGGGCCCUACAAGGUUACUGACUUCAGCCAAACUCCGAAUGCCGGGAAGUGAGAGCGUGGCAGUGAGACUGUGGGGGAUAAGCUUCAUAGUCGAGAGGGAAACAGCCCAGACCACCGGUUAAGGCCCCUAAGCGUGUGCUAAGUGGGAAAGGAUGUGGAGUUGCUGAGACAACCAGGAGGUUGGCUUAGAAGCAGCCACCCUUGAAAGAGUGCGUAAUAGCUCACUGGUCAAGUGAUUCCGCGCCGACAAUGUAGCGGGGCUCAAGUACACCGCCGAAACCGUGGCAUUCAGUUUUGCUGGAUGGGUAGGGGAGCGUCGUUCACGAGGUGAAGCCAGCGGGUAACUUCUGGUGGAUUGUGGACGAGUGAGAAUGCAGGCAUGAGUAGCGAAAGACGGGUGAGAAACCCGUCCGCCGGAUGACUAAGGGUUCCAGGGUCAAGCUAAUCUGCCCUGGGUAAGUCGGGACCUAAGGCGAGGCCGACAGGCGUAGUCGAUGGACAACGGGUUGAUAUUCCCGUACCAGUGAAGAACCGUCCAUGUUGAGCCGGUGAUACUAACCGCCCGAACCAUCCCGAACCCCGUCUUUGACGGGGUCGGUGAUGGGGAGCGCGGGACCUGAACCGGGGAGGCAAGCGCAUUAACGGGUGUGACGCAGGAAGGUAGCCGGGCCGGGCAAUGGAAAUGACCUGGUCUAAGGGUGUAGGGCUGCCGGUAGGUAAAUCCGCCGGCUGUAUGCCUGAGACCUGAUGGGCGCCCAC
rnacentral:rRNA from 1 species